UACGGGGGGGGCUAGCGUUGUUCGGAAUUACUGGGCGUAAAGGGCUCGUAGGUGGCCAACUAAGUCAUGCGUGAAAUCCCUCGGCUUAACCUGGGAACUGCGUCUGAUACUGGAUGGCUUGAAUUCGGGAGAGGGAUGCAGAAUUCCAGGUGUAGCGGUGAAAUGCGUAGAUAUCUGGAGGAAUACCGGUGGCGAAGGCGGCAUCCUGGACCGAGAUUGACACUGAUGAGCGAAAGCCAGGGGAGCAAACGGG
rnacentral:rRNA from 1 species